AUGUUCAGUUCUGCCUGGGAGCAUAUUUGUCUUCACUGCCCUUCAGACGGUCAAAUCCCAGGACUGAAUCUCUGCUCAUGCAGUCACUUGAGGAAAAACAGAAUGGGAACCAUGAAUCAUCUUCCCCUGAGAAGGGGCCUCUAGCAUCCUGGGACCUUUGAGUAUAAGGUCUUGACAGCUCCAGAGAAUCAAUGAGCUAGGAAAGCAUCCUUCUAAUAAUACUCUUACUUUCCCUACCCUCAUCUUCAUCUUCAUCCUCUAAAAUUUGUCAUAAUUCCUGGUUACAGCAUUGUUUGGGAGGAAAAUUUAGUGUGGGUGGCCCUGGCCUCCCUCUAUACCAGCUGUCAGAGUCAGAAUUGGGGGUUGGGGGAAGCAGCGAAACUGAUCCCCAGUGGGCAUUUCUGAUGGGUGUAUAAUAGACUGUGGAGCAGAAGAGAUUAGUGAGAGGAAGAAGUUAGCAGUUCCUGGCACAGAGCACCCAGCUUGCAGAGGUUGGAUACAAACAGAUGGGGAUGGAUGGUAGAGGAGGUGCCAGGGGGAUACAUAAGCAUCAAUUUGGCAAAUAGUGUAAAUGGAUGGGGAGAGAGGCAGAAGACAGAAUGUAAAAGAUCCAGGUACUGGAAUGGCAACUAGAAUGAUGGCUUCCUGAUACAGGAUGGAUUGAAGCAGAGAGAAACAGCCAGAAAUAGAAUGGAAGUGAUAUCUCUGGAGAGGAUUCUGCAUGGCUGACAGCAAGAAGAGAAAGAAGCAAAACAUUUCUAUCAAAGCAAUUUUCAGCUCUACUCAGUAGGCUACUCAAAACACAUGUCUAUCUAUCUGUAAAAUUAUUUCUCUUCUACAAGAGCUAUCUAUUUUUUUAUGGGAAAAUUAAUGAGAUCACAAAUACAGAAAAGAAUUCUAGGGGUAGCUAAGAACCUGUGGGUCCUUGAUUCCAACUCACUGAACCCUGGCAUUAGAAGCUGAGAAAGAGUCUCAAUUCCACAGAUACUUAGCUUCAUAUGUAAAAGUAGCAGAUAGCUGGAGGCUGAUGACCUAAGGAACUAGAUAGUAACUUUUCUGUGUAUGUGGAGAGUGGGGAUGGGGGAUAGUAAGGUGGAUCAUGAGACCUUGGAAACCCAAGUUGCAUGAAGUGACAAACAAAAAU
rnacentral:lncRNA from 1 species